CCUCCAACGACAUUUGUGCCUUAGAGAGUUUGUUUACCUCCUUGGUGCAUUCAAACCUGUGUUGUCUGGUGGUCAAGGUGUUGCUUCUCCACUAUGCCCAAUAACGCCUACAACAAUAAUAAGAUACCAGCAAGAUGGGAGGAAUACACAGACAUGGGUCGACAGAUUCCAGGGACGAGGUUCAUUGCCUUCAAGGUUCCACUUCGUGAGCUGAGAAGAGAUGCCCCGCUUCCUUCUCAAGAGUUACAGCUGAUAGGAAGUUGCAAAUCUGUCAGAUUUCGUCCUGAAGUAAUGAUCUAUUUAUAAACGAGUUUAUUCAUAAUCGUUGGGAUGACCGUUUCUGACGAGAAAGAU